rnacentral:lncRNA from 1 species
UUUGCUUUGAGAUAUUGAAAGCUGUAUCUAAGUUUUCUAAGAGAAAUAUUGCGUAUACAUCAAGGUUCAAUAUAUCUGACUUUUAAUUGUUACAAAACAAUGCCAGUUUGAAAACGUGAUUAUUGAUUACUGGGCAAUAGCGUGGUUAUAAAGUUGCCAGAUGGUCAGAUUUAUUUUACAUGGACAUAUAUUAUACUGUACAUGAUGUAUGAUGAUGAAAUAGUUUAUAAAGGAAUUUAUCGUUCCACAGUCUAAAUACGCGUAUAUUCUCAGGCGAGAUUGCAGAAUUUUAAAUCGUUAUGCAAACUUUGUGUAUAUCUUGGACGCCAAAAGUUCAUUGAAAGGUAAGAAGUGAAUAAAUUCAUGUUUUAUUCGACUAAUUCGAGGUUUUAUUGUGAUUUUACCACUUCCUGCUGUGUCAUUACAAUGCGUGCAAGUUUAUACGUCAUCGCACUAGUGUUGUUCUGUGCGGGCACGCUUGAAAUUAAUUCGUCAAGCCUGAUGUAUGCGAAGAAAUGUACAAUAACAACGCCAAAAGCAGGCAAGGAGUAGAGAGGGCGAUUAGCUUUAAACAGAUAAUCAAUAGCUAUAUAAAGCACUAUUGACAGUAUUGUGUUUCUAAGAAUUCGUGUUUGCUUUCGCUUUUUGCAUCAGUGCAUGUUGGUGCAUGAAAUGUUAGCAAACUGCAUGACUUAUGACUAUAAGCCAGGGAAAUUUGGUGUCUGUAGGAGUAUAGCUAUUAUAUUAGCGAAAAUAAGCUGCGGUUUAAAUAACUCUUUUUUUAGCGAAGUUGGAAAUAAUCUGGAAUUAACGCCUAACGUGUUUUUAAGACAAAAUUUUAGUUCUCAGUCAGUUAUAUGUGGAUGGAAUUUUAGCUUUUUUAUAAACCACUUCUGAUAUCGUAUUGCGACCAUGGACCACGGGGCAACAGGACAGGUCCGUCAGGUGCGCUGUUGUUAAAUAAAAAGAAAGAAACAGACGUAUUAUACUUACUCAUAAAAUAUUUGAAUUAUUCAAAACGUGAUUGAAUAGAUCAGAAUGUUCGAUUUUUCAAUCUAGUUUUUGAAUAAUUCAAAUAUUUUAUGAGUAAGUAUAAUAUAUCUGUUUCUUUCUUUUUAUUUAACACAGCGCACCUGACGGACCUGUCCUAUUGCCCCGUGGUCCAUGGUCGCAAUACGAUAUCUGAAGUGAUUGAAACGUCUUGUUUCGGUGUACAGCCGUUACUCUCGACGAAACACGCGAGAGAACGUCUGCGAGUUGGAUGUAUAAUCCUUGUUUAGGUAACGUGGAUAGUUCCCAGAUUUGGGGACCGGCCUCUGAUUGGACAGUGCUUUAUUUGAAUAAUUUAUGACAAAUGAAGCUAUUUCAUUGGUUAAUUGAUAAUUAGCAUGCGGUUUAAAAUAACAACACAAAAAUUUUAAAAUUCCAGAUCAAGAAUCAAGAUUUCCUUCGGGGCAUAUACAAAGGUUUGAAAGACUUCUUGAAAGAUAAUCUGUUGAGUGUUGAGUUUAAUUUUGUGCUGUAUCGAAGCUAAGAAAAUCAAGAUAUAAUUCUUGUGUUUGGACACUCAGCGAACAAUGCUGACAAAUAUAUAAAAUACAACAAAUUAUCGGACGGAAAUUGACAAUUUAUAAUUGACAAUUUAAUAAAUUGACAAUCUGUUUAUAUGUCCCGACCCCUCGCGAUAAAGCAUUUUGUUUACAUGUAAUGUGUUUAACUUCGUCUUACUUGGACAGUUAACUUUUAAUUACUUUAAAAUGCACCUUUUGAAUAACCAGUUGUGUUUAUAUAUGUUUUUAUGUUUUUACUUUGUCUUUGUAUACAAAUGUACGCCAUAUAUAUGUACGCCAAGAACUGAACUUGUACACCGGACUUGCCGGCAUGAAACCGCAUGCUAAUUAUCAAUGAAAACCAAUGAAAUAGCUUCAUUUGUCAUAAAUUAUUCAAAUAAAGCAGUGUCCAAUCAGAGGCCGGUCCCCGAAUCAGGGAACUAUCCACGUGACCUGAACAAGGAUUAUGCAUCCAACUCACAGACGUUCUCUCGCGCGUUUCGUCGAGAGUAACGGCUGUACACAGGCUAUACGUAAUUAGUUGAAAACUGACUCGACUUAAAAAGGCUCGAAAAGGCGAAAAACAAACUCGGCCAAAAUGUCAACAUUUAAACGGAAAAACUCUUUAAAAUGAUAGCUAAAUACUUGAACUCGUACUUAAAACAAGCACGCACUAAAGAGGUUGAGAAAAUAGGGGUAAAUAGCUACAAAGUAUUGUUGAAUUUCAACGAUUCUGCUUGGAAUAUUAACAAACAUUAAUUGUGCAUAUAUUUUAAAAAAUCGCCUGUCACUUUCAUGUUCAAAACAACGAGCAAAGUUUUACCGCAUGUGUCAGCAGUUUAAUUCCAAGAGUCUUUGUUUGUGUGUAAUCCAGAAUCAAAAUGAGGCCAUUUUGAUAAGCUUUUUUCCUUUAAAUGCAGUUUUUAAUACUUAAAAACGGCCAUCGACUCUCGCGCCCUUCGCCGCUUGUUGCUACUAGUAGGCUAUCACUAAUAGCCUACUAGUAGCGUAGCCAAUCAGAACGCACGAUACAUGAUAGCCUACUAGCAGUUUUUUACUAAUUGUUAAAUAGUCCUAAUAGUCUUCGAAAUAUUUACUCGCCCCAAUCUACAUGCCGGAGAGGGGGGGGGGGGCAAUGCCGUGCGUCAUGUAUAUUGGGUAACCUCGUUCCCAUGCUAUUCCCUUUUAGUAUAAACCUACUAGUAGGUUAUCACAUUUCGUGCCUUCUGAUUGGCUACGCUACUAGUAGGCUAUUAGUGAUAGCCUACUAAUAGAAAAUUCAAAAUGGCGGAAAAUUCGCAUUUUGCACUUUUGCCGAAGUGUCUGAUGAUUUUUUUGGACGACUUGUUGAACAAUUCUGUACUAAAAAACCCGAAAAAGCAACAAAAAUAUGGAAUGGCAAUUUGUAAGGGUAAGAAAAUAGACAAAAUAACAUACACUCAAUGAAAUUUUAAAAUUAAAACUGAAUUUUGUAAAACAAUUCACGCGAACAAAAACUAAAAUAUUUGUUUACCUUUAAUGGUUUUAUAAUGUUUUUUGUAUUUUUGUAUUGUGUUUGCAGCCUAGUUGUAAAUUAAUGUUAAAGUUUAUACUAAAACAAUUAGACAACUUGGCCUCGUUGUCUAUGAGCAAAUAGUCAACUCGGCUUCGCCUCGUUAACUAUUCGCUCAUAGACAACUCGGCCUCGUUGUCUAAUUGUUAAGUAGAUUGGAGUCAGUAAAUAUGUGGAAUUUAUUUUGAAGAUUAUAGGACUAUUCACGUACGAAGUUUCGAACAUUCCGAUCUUUUGAACAUUCAAAUAUCUUAUGAGUCGUAUAAUUAUACUGUUUAACAGCAGUGCACCAGUCCUAUUACCCGUGAGCGAACGCAUGGAUGUCGGUAUUGUAUUUGUAUUCUUACUAUUCUCAUUGUGACGAUUUUAUUUUCAGAAUGGGUGAGGGAUGAAUAGAAAUUUGCUGUAUCGGUCCAGGGGCUUUCUCAGGAAUUUGUCAGUAGGGGGCGGGGGCAACUAAAAAUGGGGUUGGUGGGUAUGGUUUAGUGGAAGGGCCACCAUGGGGGCUUUGACCCUCCCUAUAUCUGUGCACUAAUUACCUGCUUAACCUUUAUAGCUAUACUUGUAUGUUCCUGAACUGAUAUCUAAUGAAAACUGAAUGACCUGACUUUUAUUUACACUGGUUUGAAACAAGAGAACGACACACUUGGUCAUUGGGAUAUUCACAAAAGUGAUACAGGUA